GUCAUGGCAAUACUUGAGCGCGAGCCUGCAUUCAGUGGUCCAUUUCUGAAUACUUCAUGUUAAUUUAAUGUUUGGAAAAUAUUGGCGAGGGGUUACUCCAUGCAUGAAUUUCUAGUAUUAAUCUGACACUGCAAUAGACCAACGAAAAGUUCGUUGACUCGAGCAGGAUUUGAACUCGCACCUUCGGGUAUCUAUACCGCCGCUCUACCCAUUGAGCUAUCGAGUCAACGGGGAUUGGUAGCGAGUGUUACCCCAUUUAAGUGAACGAAAUAUUUUCGUGACGACUUACGCUUGUCUUAGAGGACGCGCAUUGUUCCAUUUCUAUUUCAGAACCAUUGACUCAUAUAUAGCUCAAUGACAAUGGGUAGAGCGGUGGUCUAGAUACCCGAAGAUGCGAGUUCAAAUCCCGCUCGAGCCAACGAAUUUUUCGUUGGUCUAAUGCAGUGUCUGAUUAAUAUGAAACUGGUUUUUCGUAUCUCUGAGGAUGGUUCUGAAAUAAAUCCUGAAAGAUUUCGUAUUUAUUAUGACACGACUUCCUCUAUAUCAUCGAGUGUUGGGGUUGCAUUAGUCCGGCAAGCGAGAAGUUGGAUCAGAUUCACAGUGGACAAAAGGCUUGGCGAGGAAAGUACGCUUCGCUAUAAAAACAUAAUCUAUAAUUAUAUAUGUACGCAUAUUACAUCAGACAUCAGACCCGUACUUGAGUAUUGUGCUCCCGUGUUUCAUCAUGCUCUCCCAGGAUAUUUGUGUGACGAUCUUGAACGCAUUCAAAAGCGUGCGUUAUCGAUUAUAUCUCCGGGACUAUCCUAUAUGGACAAUCUCACUGUACACGAUAUCAGUACUUUGAAAGACAGGCGCCAGAAACUUUGUAAGAAACUUUUCCAAACAGUUGUGUCCGAUGCUGAUCACAAGCUUUACCAUCUUCUGCCGCCCUCAAAGACAUCAGCCUAUAACCUAAGAAGACUGCGUCGUUUUGACUGUCCUGCUACACGAACAAAUCGUUUUAGUAAUUCUUUUAUUCUGUCAAUGUCAAAAGAGUAGUUUAUAAACGAUACCAUGCAGUGGGGAUCAGAUUUGACUUCCCCUACCACUUCCGCUGCCUAUCGCUGAUUUGUUAUGCAUGUGAUUAGUUAAUUUAGUAGUCUGAAUUUUUCUGAUUAGUUCCUAGUCCUUUUCGGUAGCAGUGGUGGUGGUGGAGGUCGGAUCUGAACUUCGCUACCAACGUUUUACAAGUACAUAUUUAUUGAUAUGUGUAUGUUUGUAUGUAUGUAUGUGAGAUGUACAUAUUAUUUUUGUAAAUUUUACGCAAUUCAGCUUUUGUAGGCUGCUAUGUAAAAUCAUAAUAAACUAUCUAUCUAUCUAUCUAUC